ACCCACACUGUCCCUUUAUCACGCAUCAGGACAUCCAGCGAGCCGUUGAUGACGUCAACAGUGACGUGGAGGCCGAACAGACCAAGGUGGAGCUGGUGGAGGCCGUGAACCAGGCAGUCCAGAUGGGCGACAGUGCGUCCCUGCUGAACACCCUGACGGACCCAGCGCUCGGGUACUGUGACGUCACCCAGCACAGCGUCCACCACUGCCUACAGCUGCUUAAGAGCGCUCAGACGGCGAAGCUGCGCCGUGAAGGCGACGGCGUGCUGUGGCUGGAGGACGUCGACGAGGCGGUGCGGA